rnacentral:misc_RNA from 1 species
GAUGAAGAACGUAGCGAAAUGCGAUAAGUAGUGUGAAUUGCAGAAUUCAGUGAAUCAUCGAAUCUUUGAACGCACAUUGCGCCCCUUGGUAUUCCAUGGGGCAUGCCUGUUCGAGCGUCAUUUGUACCUUCAAGCUUUGCUUGGUGUUGGGUGUUUGUCUCGCCUUUGCGUGUAGACUCGCCUUAAAAUAAUUGGCAGCCGGCGUAUUGAUUUCGGAGCGCAGUACAUCUCGCGCUUUGCACUCAUAACGACAGCGUCCAAAAGUACAUUUUACACUCUUGACCUCGGAUCAGGUAGGGAUACCCGCUGAACUUAAGCAUAUCAAAAAGCGGAGGA